rnacentral:rRNA from 1 species
UUGCCCUAGUAACGGCGAAGUGAAGCGGCAACAGCUCCAAAUUUGAAAUCUGGCGUCUUUGGCGUUUGAGUUGUAAUUUGCAGAGGGCGCUUUGGCAUUGGCAGCGGUCCAAGUUCCUUGGAACAGGACGUCACAGAGGGUGAGAAUCCCGUACGUGGUCGCUAGCCUUUACCGUGUAAAGCCCCUUCGACGAGUCGAGUUGUUUGGGAAUGCAGCUCUAAAUGGGAGGUAAAUUUCUUCUAAAGCUAAAUACUGGCCAGAGACCGAUAGCGCACAAGUAGAGUGAUCGAAAGAUGAAAAGCACUUUGGAAAGAGAGUUAAAAAGCACGUGAAAUUGUUGAAAGGGAAGCGCUUGCAGCCAGACUUGCCUGUAGUUGCUCAUCCGGGUUUUUACCCGGUGCACUCUUCUAUAGGCAGGCCAGCAUCAGUUUGGGCGGUUGGAUAAAGGUCUCUGUCACGUACCUCCUCUCGGGGAGAACUUAUAGGGGAGACGUAAUGCAACCAGCCUGGACUGAGGUCCGCGCAUCUGCUAGGAUGCUGGCGUAAUGGCUGUAAGCGGCCCGUCUUGAAACACGGACCAAGGAGUCUAACAUCUAUGCGAGUGUUUGGGUGUCAAGCCCGAGCGCGUAAUGAAAGUGAACGGAGGUGGGAACCUUUCGGGGUGCACCAUCGACCGAUCCUGAUGUCUUCGGAUGGAUUUGAGUAAGAGCAUAGCUGUUGGGACCCGAAAGAUGGUGAACUAUGCUUGAAUAGGGUGAAGCCAGAGGAAACUCUGGUGGAGGCUCGCAGCGGUUCUGACGUGCAAAUCGAUCGUCAAAUUUGGGGCAUAGGGGCGAAAGACUAAUCGAACUAUCUAGUAGCUGG